CAGUUUUGGCGGAGCCAUCCUUGGGAUACCACCCUUGUAGUACUGGGACUCUAACCAUAGGCCAUGAAUCUGGUCUUGGGACACUGUCAUGUUGGCAGGUUGACUGGGGAGGUCGCCUCCACAAAGGUAACGGAGGCGCUCAAAGGUCCUCUCAGUACGGUCGGAAAUCGUACGUAGAGUGUAAAGGCAAAAGAGAGCUUGAUUGCAAGACAUACAGGUCGAGCAAGGAUGAAAAGCGGACUUAGUGAUCCGGUGGUUCUGCGUGGAAGGGCCAUCGCUCAACGGAUAAAAGCUACCCUGGGGAUAACAGGCUUAUCUCCCCCAAGAGUCCACAUCGACGGGGAGGUUUGGCACCUCGAUGUC
rnacentral:rRNA from 1 species